GCCUGCAUGCAGACGCGAGCAUAGGACACCCCCAGCUUUUUGAAGUUGUGGAGCCACUGCCUGCCACAAAAUCCCAAGAGAUCCUUCAUGGUGGAGGCAGUGAAGCAACUGAACUGUAAGCUUCUCUAGGAAAAGUGAAGAAGAGGAGUCCCUGGGAGCUGGAGUUGGUUCUCAGGAGCAGAUGCUCUAACUUCCUCCAGGUCAGCCAAACUGGCAGUCUCUGAGGGGUCCUUGCGUAUUCGCGGCCUUGCUAAUGAGCUCCUGCCUGGGGAGGAGCAACUGGUCUGGACAAGUCCGACCACUGCUAGGUUUCUUGGUUUUGGACAGACCUAUCUGAAAAUCUGUACUUGUAAAGGCUUAUCUGCUAUUUUACUUAGUGCAACUUAGUCUAGCUCUUAUAGCUCUGGGAACUUCAACGACACCAGAAGCUCUCAUGAUA